UACGUAGGUGGCAAGCGUUGUCCGGAAUUACUGGGCGUAAAGGGCUCGUAGGCGGCCAACUAAGUCAGACGUGAAAUCCCUCGGCUUAACCGGGGAACUGCGUCUGAUACUGGAUGGCUUGAAUCCGGGAGAGGGAUGCGGAAUUCCAGGUGUAGCGGUGAAAUGCGUAGAUAUCUGGAGGAACACCGGUGGCGAAGGCGGCAUCCUGGACCGGCAUUGACGCUGAGGAGCGAAAGCCAGGGGAGCAAACGGG
rnacentral:rRNA from 1 species